GCGCCCGUAGCUCAGAGGAUAGAGCAGUUCCCUUCUAAGGAAAAGGUCGGGGGUUCGACUCCCUCCGGGCGCGCCA
rnacentral:tRNA from 1 species